rnacentral:tRNA from 1 species
GCGGAUGUAGCUCAGUUGGUAGAGCGAAACCCCUCCAGGGUUUAGGUCGUAGGUUCGAGCCCUGCCGUCCGCUCCG